UUUAUUAUUUAGAACUGCCAUUUAUUCGCAACAUUCCUGCCGACAACAAUCCAAGACAUAUUCAGGCUAUUAACUUCGUGCGUCGACGGUGCACUGAGAUCCUAAGCGAUCUACAGAAUCAUCUUGGUAGUACAGAUGCUGUAAAGGUCAUAGCAAUAAAUAGCAGAAUAAUAUAUGAAGUGAAAUGUCCAUUCAAUAGAUGUCAAUAUAUAGGAGGUAAAGUUGACCGUCAUAUGAAAGCUGUGCACUAGGUUUCAGACAAGUUGGCUGGACUUUUCAAAUUAAGACAAGUUAGACUGCUUAAUUAUUACACGAAGAUUUAUCAUAUUGGUCAAGUCAAACCUCUUCCUUGUAAAGCUUGUAACAGAUACUUCGACAGAUUUAUGACACACGUCAAAAACACACUACAGAAAACAGUAAAAGAGUUUUGUCGAUUUCCCGCCGUUUCGAUAAGGCUUUAAAGAAGAAAUAUGAUAGUUUUUAGGGUUUUAUUCUUUUUAUGUAACU